rnacentral:lncRNA from 1 species
UGGGGUGGGGUGGACCAGAAGAGAGAUGAUUAUGUUUCAAAAGCCCUAGGUUUUAAAAGACAGGAAUUUACUAUUGUUUUUCUAUUUUCUACUGUAAUAAACCUUCUCUUAGAUAACAGAUGCCUAGUAGUCUGAUGGUGGGAGGACCAAAAUAUGACAGAAAAUACCAGGAAAAAUUAAUAUGAGAAAGAUCAAUUCAUAUCUCAAAUAGUAUGCUGACACAUGCAAAUUCAAAACAAAUCACACAAAUAACUAACUAUGGUGGUGCUAAGCAUUAGGAAGAAGAAAUGUGGGGUGCUGUGGGAGUGAACAACUGUUAUGGCAGCUGCCCAGCAGCCCCAUGGCCUCAGCCCCUAUGGCUGUAGUGUACCAGCUCCAACAGCUCUGUGGCUGUGGUAUAUCAGUUCUUUUACCUGACGAGAAACUAAGCGAGCUCUCGGGGAGUUGGAGAACUCAGGUUUAUUAUGCCGGUGCACUCAGAGGAGAUGGCUCUCUGGAGUCUGAGACCUGAAGAAGGAUUUCAUAAGGCUUUAUGGCUAUCUCUUCUGGGUCUGUGCUUGGUGGACUGGAGUGAGCUCAGGCAAGGUAGUAGAUGUGGAAGCAAGCUUACAGAAGCAGGUGUGUGGGGGAUGGGUGGUUAGGAGCGGUUGGCUGGACUUUGCUUAGUCAUCAUGCCUGGGGUCUCUCUACCUUUUUAUCAGGAACAUUUUCUCCUACGAGACAAGUACCAUAAUUAUGUCCAGGGAUUUGGGGGAGUGUUUCCCUAAAAAAAUGCACAACUUGAAAGUUGAGAGUUAAGUUUUAUUCAGGGGCAAAAUUAAGACUUAAGCAUCUCAGGUAGCCCUGAGAAAUUGCUUUGAGGUGGUGAUGGAAGAGCUAGGAUAUAUAGGAGUUUUUGUAACAAAGGGCUGGUAGCAGGAACAAAAGAGGCCUGGGCUCACUGAAAUCAUUCCUUUGAUAUGCACCUCCAUUAUCAGGGCCAGUAUCCUGAGUUUUCAAGUCCUGCAGGACACAUUGGCUCUCACCCUUUGAGGUGACUGCAUUCACAGAUGACUGUGACAUUCUUUGUUUUAUCCUUAACUAUCCACUGGGUGGUUGUUAUUUCAGAUACUUGAGGAAAGGGGGAAUAUCAGGAUAUGAUAAAGGUGAAGGGAAGGUGCAUGCAGCACACACAUAUUUUACAAAAGUUUGUCACUCAUCUCCUAAAGAUUACUACCAGUCACAAGGAGCAGACAUCACCAUGAAGGAUUUUAGUAUUUUUCUGGAUAUGAGGAGAUGCAAAAAUGGGGCACAUAAAAUCUUCUCUUAAAAACAUCUGACUAUUUGAAGACCUUUCUUCCAGUUUUCCCAGAGCACAGAGUGCCUCACUCCUGAUUUUUACCCUGAGCUCUGCCUAGGGGGUGCUGCAGGUUGGCAGCUGCAGUGGCUAAUGAUUUAAUCCAUGUGGAGGCUGAUGGCAAGAGUCAAACUUCAUUUCACAGGAGAAAUGGAGAAACUGAUGUUGAACUAUGCUCUAAAGGUGAGAGGUUGUUCCUUAGCCCCAAGGGGAAGGUUAGCACUGCACGGACACACUCUGCAAAGAAAAAGAACAUGGCACAAAUGAAGAAUCAAAAGAAAUCCAGGUUAUUGGAGUGUGUGGAUUGAGGGGAAAAGACACAAAUUUGGGCUAGCCAGGCAAGUCCUGCCCAAGAGUUAUAGGGGGCUGUGCAGUCCAGGUUAGUAAUCUUAAACUUAAUGAACAGACAUUGAUAGCCUUUAAAUUGUAGCAUGAUGAAAUUUGGACUUUUUUUUGGCCUUUUUUUAGGGCUACACCUGAGGCAUGUGGAGGUUCCCAGGCUAGAGGUUGAAUUGGAGCUGCAGUUGCCGGCCUAUGCCACAGUCACAGCAGUGCAGGAUCUGGGCCUAGUCUUCAACAUAUACCACAGUUCACAGCAACAGAGGAUCCUUAAUCCACUGAAUGGAGCCAGGGUUGGAACUUGCAUCCUCAUGUGUGCUGGUGAGGUUCGUUAACAAUGUACCAUGAUGGGAACUCCGAAUUUGGACUUUUAAAGUACAUUAUUUUCUCUAAUGUAUGGAGCCUGGUUAUGGGGAGACAAAUAGGGAGACAGUUUCGGACUGAUUGGUGGGGCAGUGACAGUGGGUCAGAUGGAUGUAUGGCAGAAGAUAGAGAAAACAGUGAACACAUCUGAGAUGUUUGAAGGUAGAGCAUUUGGUUAUGUGGAUGAGGAAUAGUCAGGUAUCAAGGAUGACCUCACGUGUCCUCUAGGAACAACUAGAUAUGAAAUAACAGAAGAGAAGGUAAGGGGGUUGAUGAUCAGAGGCGCUAAUUAGUUGAUCAGCUGUCAUGAAACAGCCAACUUGAAAUGUUCACUAAGAAGUUGAACAUUUGUAUCUGGAGCUCAGAAGCAACUUUUGAAGCCAACUGUAAAUUUAGGAGAACCUAGCAUAAGAAAAUCAGAUGAGGGAAGGAGACCACCAAGGGAGAAAGUGGAUAAUGAAAAACAAAGAUGGUUCAGCAUUCAUCCCUGGGGAGAUGUGGCAUUUAAAUUCGAGUGGAGGAGAAUCUGCUAGAGAAGUGGGUGAAAAAGCAGGAGUGUUAUCACAGAUGCUAAGAAUUAAGAAGACAAUUGUACUGAAUGUCAAUGAGAGGUCAAACACCUUGUAAGUUUUCCAUUAGCUUUUAGCAACUAGGUAGGCCUGAGGAAGCUCAUUUUCACUGGAGAGGUGGGAUCAAAAGUGAGAUUGUUGUAAACUGAGCCAGAAGAGAUGAGUGGGGACAAUGGCUAUAGCCCUGACAACUCCCUCUCUCUCCCAUAUGUGCUUGUGAAUAUAAGAGAGGGGCUGCAGCUCCCAGUGAAUGUGGGAUUCAGAGGUGCAGAGGGGGUGUUUCUAAAAAUCAGGGAGACUAAUUCUUGCUUAAAUGAUAUUAUGAUGGUUGUUAGAAGUUAUUUCAGAGGAAUAGAGUCCAUAGCGUAGGAAUAUUUUUCUGAUUAAGAUAAACCUGAAAGAAUAAGUGCUCACUUGAUCACUGAAUUUGUAUGAAUUAUGUAAUAUAGUAUUUAGUUGUUAAAUGAAAUGUCUUUGCUUUAGAGGAACUAGAGCUUGGAACCUACCAAAAACAUAAUUUGAACUGAUGCAUCUCUUAUUCCAGGACUGUUUAGCUUUAAUGAAUAUUUCAUGGUAAAAUUUUCUUACCUGUUUCUUCAAGAUUGAUCUAACUUCCUAAUAUUCAGUGUGUAGAUAGGUGGCUUUUCUUUGGAAAUGUAAGUUUUAUUUGGAUUAGAGAAACAG